GUGAGGAAUAUUGGACAAUGGGCGCAAGCCUGAUCCAGCCAUGCCGCGUGCAGGAAGACGCAUCUAUGGUGUGUAAACUGCUUUUGUACGGGAAGAAACACUCCCUCGUGAGGGAGCUCGACGGUACCGUAAGAAUAAGGAUCGGCUAACUCCGUGCCAGCAGCCGCGGUAAUACGGAGGAUCCAAGCGUUAUCCGGUAUCAUUGGGUAUAAAGGGUCCGUAGGCGGUUUAAUAAGUCAGUGGUGAAAGCCCAUCGCUCAACGAUGGAACGGCCAUUGAUACUGUUAGACUUGAAUUACAAGGAAGUAACUAGAAUAUGUAGUGUAGCGGUGAAAUGCUUAGAUAUUACAUGGAAUACCAAUUGCGAAGGCAGGUUACUACUUGUGGAUUGACGCUGAUGGACGAAAGCGUGGGGAGCGAACAGGAUUAGAAACCCGGGUAGUCC
rnacentral:rRNA from 1 species